CAAUAGCGUAUAUUAAAGUUGUUGCAGUUAGAACGCUCGUAGUCGGAUUUCGGGGCGUUCCGACCGGUCUGCCGAUGGGUAUGCACUGGCCGGAGUGUCCUUUUUGCCGGAGACCGUGCCUACUCUUAACUGAGCGGGGGCGGGAGACGGCACUUUUACUUUGAAAAAAUCAGAGUGUUUCAAGCAGGCAGCUCGCUCUUGCAUGGAUUAGCAUGGGAUAAUGAAAUAGGACUUCGGUGCUAUUUUGUUGGUUUCGAACACCGAAGUAAUGAUGAGAAGGGACAGUCAGGGGCACUCGUAUUCCGCAGAGAGAGGUGAAAUUCUCAGACCCGCGGAAGACGAACCACUGCGAAAGCAUUUGCCAGGGAUGUUUUCACUGA
rnacentral:rRNA from 1 species